GCCACCCCGGGGAGCUGCACACUCCACAGCAGCUGAUCCCACGGGAAGAGCUGGCUCCAGACUGGGAGCCUGCAGCUCUCCUCUGCUCCAGGGCUCCUCUCCCUGGCACACAAAGCCUCCUCAUCCUCUCUGGGCAGGUAAGCCAUGCUCAGGGCACGUUCCUGGGCCCCUCAUCCCCCUGCCCGCCGGUGCAGAGGUUGUGUGGAGCUGGCUGGGAAUGCUGUGCUGCUCGGGCAGGGCACAGGGGGCUGGAUGGCAGCGGGAGGUUGUGCUGGGCGAGCAGAAUCCCAGUUCCUGAAGCGUGGUGCAGGAGAGCAGAUUAACAGAGCAGCCAAGCAAGCAGCAGUGGAGAGUAUAAAGUUCAGGGUGGGAUGAAGUGACAAAACAAAUGGCAUUACAGAGGAGUCCCAUGACAACAGGACUCACAGUAACACACAAACAGGAAGGGAAAAGGAGGGAAGGAGAGCAGAGUGAAAUUUAACCCUGCGGUUAUUUUCUUUGGCUUGUUUCCUUUCCACCCAGCUUUCCACACUUCCAUCAGCAGGCUCAUGUUCCCAUCACUCCGAUCCCCAGCAAUGCUUUUGAAAUUCAUGUGUGCCACUGAUUUAAGAGCAUAAUGGCCCAGAUAAGCUCUUCCCUGGGUUACAAAUGCCUUCUGCUCAGACACUUCAAACUGGGUGUCGCUCUCCCCUCCCCAUUUCCCAUCUCACCACUUCUGUUGCUGAUUACACAACAGUGUUUUAUUUCUCCAUCAGUCCAUUCAUCAUCUUAAUCAAGAGAUACAAAACAUCAUGGUUAUAUUAAUGUGUCCUACAGAUAGUAUCCAAUAGUAAGGUCUUGGUACCAGUAAAUAUUUUCCUAUGGCCCUUUGCUGGAAAGAAACACAUCUGAGGCCAGCCCUCUUUGGCAGCAGUUAUCAAACAAGGAAAAAGAGAGCAGUGUCUAAAAGGCUAUACACUUUUUUUCUUCUUUUGGAACUGAAUCCAAGAAUAUCCUCUGGAUGGAGCCCUGUGGAAGGGGCACACAGCUGAACCAACACCCUUUAUUGCUCACUCUGAGUAACAUAAUAAACGUGGCUGCACAACAGGCCACUUUCUGCAGCACAUUCUUUGAUCCCUGUGUUCUCCUCCGCUGAUUGCUGCCUUCAAAACUCCUUCAAUUGAUUCAAUUCUUGGCUUGAAUCUUAGCAAAAUACUGUUGGAGUGCACAACAUCAGUAUGGAACUAUCUGCCUCCAGCCCAAAGAGGUCAUCACAACCAACCCUUGCCCCACAAGACAUUUGGGUUUCUCCCCUUUGCCCUCCAACUGCAUCACAGUUGUGCUGCUGAUGCUUUCUGCCUCUGCAGGGUGGAUUUCAGAAGUGCCUAGCGCUUGGGAAAACUGGAAAAGACUGAGAAAAAGACUUUUCAUGAGUAUCAUUUUCCUGUGUGUCUGUAAAUAUUAGUUGUUUCCGCUGUUUUGAUUGCUGUGCUCAUCAUGGCAAGUUCAAGGCAGCCCAGCUGUGCUUCCCUGUAUUUGAAUAACACACAGAAGUAAAAAGCAGGAUGCUUUACAAGAUACUCUGUAGUGUAUAAUGUGUGAUUACACCCAUUUCAGUUGCACUGUCGAUUCAGCAUUGCCUGCAAGACUCUGAGUGGAACUCACCUGGAGAUCUGGUUUCACCCGAAGGAGCUAAAAAUGUUUGCCAGCCACCAUGUUCUGCAGAUGUCACGUACACAGCACCUCCAAACACACCAAAUCACACUUGGAAACAUUGCUUUCUCUGUCUCACUGAUCAAGCACAUGGAAGUGAUACUGCCUGAUGCUCCCAGGCUGCUGGGAGAGCUCAGCACUGCAACGAGGGUUUCUAGAAUUUGACUCUGCUCUAAGAUCAACUUUCCCCUGCAGCUGAACAAACCACUCUCUGCCUUCCUCUCCCUCAGUCUUUCCAUCUGGAAAAAUGAAGACAUUUGCAUCUGUACUGUGGGUGCCUGUGCUGUGCAUAUAAAUCACCAAAUGUUUAUAAAAAUGAUUUGAGGAGAAAAAAGACCUAAAGGAAUGAGGAGCCUGGGUUACACUGAAUUUCAGGAGGAUUUUUCACUUUGGUGACUGUAGCUGUAGGAGGAAGCAGUUUUUUGUAAGAGGAGGUGACUUAGUUUUCCAAUGGGCACAUCACAGCAGCCUGGUAACCUUCCAUGCUUCGACAAAUCUGAAGUUUCUGCCCCUGAAGGAGUCCCCUCUUAACAAAUGCAGUGGCUUCUGCCUGGGAGAAGUCUCAAAACAAGAUCCAACUUGCCUGCAAUUUUUUCCUCCUGAAUAAAAAUUCUCUCCUGGAAAAUGUGA